rnacentral:rRNA from 1 species
UGGGGAAUUGUUCACAAUGGGCGCAAGCCUGAUGACGCAACGCCGCGUGGGGGAUGAAGGUCUUCGGAUUGUAAACCCCUGUCGAAUGGGACGAAAGACUCGCGAGUUAAUACUUCGCGGGAGUGACGGUACCGUUAAAGGAAGCCACGGCUAACUCUGUGCCAGCAGCCGCGGUAAUACAGAGGUGGCAAGCGUUGUUCGGAAUUACUGGGCGUAAAGGGCGCGUAGGCGGCCUACUAAGUCAGACGUGAAAUCCCCCGGCUUAACCUGGGAACUGCGUCUGAUACUGGAAGGCUUGAGUAUGGGAGAGGGAUGUAGAAUUCCAGGUGUAGCGGUGAAAUGCGUAGAUAUCUGGAGGAAUACCGGUGGCGAAGGCGGCAUCCUGGACCAUUACUGACGCUGAGGCGCGAAAGCUAGGGGAGCAAACGGGAUUAGAUACCCUCGUAGUCCCUGAGCGGGCUGGCAAGGCGCAU